rnacentral:rRNA from 1 species
GAUGAACGCUGGCGGCGUGCCUAAUACAUGCAAGUCGAGCGAACAGACGAGGAGCUUGCGCCUCAGACGUUAGGGGAGGACGGGUGAGUAACACGUGGAUAACCUACCUAUAAGACUGGGAUAACUUCGGGAAACCGGAGCAAAUCCGGGAGAAUAAAUUGAACGGCAUGGUUCAAUAGUGAAAGACGGUUGUGCUGUCAGUUAUAGACGGAUCCGCGCGGCAUUAGCUAGUUGGUAAGGUAACGGCUUACCAAGGCGACGAUGCGUAGCCGAGCUGAGAGGGUGGUCGGCCACACUGGAACUGGGACACGGUCCAGAGUCCUGCGGUAGGCAGCAGUCGGGAAUCUUCCGCAAUGGGCGAGAGCCUGACGGAGCAACGCCGCGUGAGUGAUGAAGGUCUUCGGAUCGUAAAACUCUGUUAUUGGGGAAGAACAAAUGUCUAAGUAACUAUGCACGUCUUGACGGUACCUAGUCAGAAAGCCACGGCUAACUACGUG